UACAGAGGUGGCAAGCGUUGUUCGGAAUUACUGGGCGUAAAGGGCGCGUAGGCGGCCUUCUAAGUCAGACGUGAAAUCCCCCGGCUUAACCUGGGAACUGCGUCUGAUACUGGGGGGCUUGAGUGCGGGAGAGGGAUGCGGAAUUCCAGGUGUAGCGGUGAAAUGCGUAGAUAUCUGGAGGAACACCGGUGGCGAAGGCGGCAUCCUGGACCGACACUGACGCUGAGGCGCGAAAGCUAGGGUAGCAAACGGG
rnacentral:rRNA from 1 species